GCUGCCAGUUGCCAACGGGUGAAGCCGGGCACUCUGGCGGGACUGCCAUCGACAAGAUGGAGGAAGUGGGGAUGACGUCAAGUCAUCAUGGCCCUUAUGUCCAGGGCGACACACGUGCUACAAUGGCCGGCACAGCGGGAAGCGAGGCAGUGAUGCCGAGCGGAUCCCUUAAAGCCGGUCUCAGUUCGGAUUGAAGUCUGCAACUCGACUUCAUGAAGCUGGAAUCGCUAGUAAUCGCAGAUCAGCCAAGCUGCGGUGAAUACGUUCCCGGGCCUU
rnacentral:rRNA from 1 species